UACGGAGGAUUCAAGCGUUAUCCGGAAUCAUUGGGUUUAAAGGGUCCGUAGGCGGUUUAAUAAGUCAGUGGUGAAAGCCCAUCGCUCAACGGUGGAACGGCCAUUGAUACUGUUAAACUUGAAUUAUUAGGAAGUAACUAGAAUAUGUAGUGUAGCGGUGAAAUGCUUAGAGAUUACAUGGAAUACCAAUUGCGAAGGCAGGUUACUACUAAUGGAUUGACGCUGAUGGACGAAAGCGUGGGUAGCGAACAGG
rnacentral:rRNA from 1 species